rnacentral:rRNA from 1 species
AACGCGAAGAACCUUACCAAGGUUUGACAUCCCUCUGGAUGGUGCAGAGAUGUGCCAGGCUCCUUCGGGAGACAGAGGAGACAGGUGGUGCAUGGUUGUCGUCAGCUCGUGUCGUGAGAUGUUGGGUUAAGUCCCGCAACGAGCGCAACCCUUAUCGUUAGUAGCCAGCAAGUGAAGUUGGGGACCCUAGCGAGACUGCCGUGGAUAACACGGAGGAAGGCGGGGACGACGUCAAAUCAUCAUGCCCCUUAUAUCUUGGGCAACACACGUGCUACAAUGGCUCAAACAAAGUGAAGCGAGACAGUGAUGUUAAGCAAACCACAAAAAAGGAGUCCCAGUUCGGAUUGUAGUCUGCAACCCGACUACAUGAAGUUGGAAUCGCUAGUAAUCGCGGAUCAGCAUGCCGCGGUGAAUACGUUCCCGGGUCUUGUACACACCG